rnacentral:rRNA from 1 species
GACGAACGCUGGCGGCGUGCCUAAUACAUGCAAGUCGAGCGAAGUUUUUCUGGUGCUUGCACUAGAAAAACUUAGCGGCGAACGGGUGAGUAACACGUAAAGAACCUGCCUCAUAGACUGGGACAACUAUUGGAAACGAUAGCUAAUACCGGAUAACAGCAUUAACUGCAUGGUUAAUGUUUGAAAGUUGGUUUUGCUAACACUAUGAGAUGGCUUUGCGGUGCAUUAGCUAGUUGGUGGGGUAAAGGCCUACCAAGGCGACGAUGCAUAGCCGACCUGAGAGGGUGAUCGGCCACACUGGGACUGAGACACGGCCCAGACUCCUACGGGAGGCAGCAGUAGGGAAUCUUCCGCAAUGGGCGAAAGCCUGACGGAGCAACGCCGCGUGAGUGAAGAAGGAUUUCGGUUCGUAAAGCUCUGUUGUUAGGGAAGAAUGAUUAUGUAGUAACUAUACAUAGUAGAGACGGGACCUAACCAGAAAGCCACGGCUAACUACGUGCCAGCAGCCGCGGUAAUACGUAGGUGGCAAGCGUUGUCCGGAAUUAUUGGGCGUAAAGCGCGCGCAGGUGGUUUAAUAAGUCUGAUGUGAAAGCCCACGGCUCAACCGUGGAGGGUCAUUGGAAACUGUUAAACUUGAGUGCAGGAGAGAAAAGUGGAAUUCCUAGUGUAGCGGUGAAAUGCGUAGAGAUUAGGAGGAACACCAGUGGCGAAGGCGGCUUUUUGGCCUGUAACUGACACUGAGGCGCGAAAGCGUGGGGAGCAAACAGG